rfam:Treponema caldarium DSM 7334, complete genome.
AAAAUCCCAACCGGCCAAGCCUGGCAAGCAGCCGGAAGCGAGUCUUGCAUGCUCAAGGGCGACCUUAAGGGCGUGAAGCGUAGACAGCGAUCUCAAAUGCCGUGCUAUUGAGCCUCGAAAUGUGUAUAAUCGGGGAAAUUUCUGUAGUUGAACUAGGCGGGAACAACACCGAACCAUCGAAGUGCCUGAUGGCGAGGUUCCCCCGGGGUCUGAGAACA